UCCAUUACAGGGGAAACCAGUGGGAAAGAGCUGUGUCGUGAUAAAGGAAAGCGGACAGCCUUGAUAAAGCUUUUUAAAGGAAUUCCUUCCUUUCCCCACUGUUACCUGUCUGGCCGCAAAUCACUCACAGCCAGACGCAGCAAGGCUUGCAAGAGCUGACUUACUGGCAGAGACCAAACUGUGUCACUUCUCAAAGUGGGAGUAGCCAGACCUGCUGCAGAAGCAGCCUUCCUUCUAGAUUUCAACAUGGAAUUUUUAUGUGGUUGUGCGUGCUCCUCUUCGGUGUUAUAAAACAGUCAAGCAAGAUGAAUAUGGCUGGGAGCUCCUUCCGAGUGAACUGCAGCAAAAGCAAAUGAGCAAACCAAGAGAGAAGACACUGGAUUUGGGAAACCAUGACUGAGAUACAAGACAGCGAUAAUACCAGAAUCAUGUCCAGGCCCUACAUCCUGAGGAAUCCCGAGAUCUCUGAGCCAAGACUGAAGCCAAAUAAGGAAAAGCUUCAGGGGAAGGUCAUUAAGGAAAGAGGUCUUGAGUAAAACUGACGAACCCCAGCCAAGCUCAGAAGACCAAGCCCUUCAGCCACCAGAACGUGCGUUUCAGGUUAAAAGCCAUUUAUUAAUCAGCCUUACAUUACAAGUUGUCCGCCCAUUGGAAGUUCAUCAGAUCUAACCAAGCACCAGAUACUUCAAGUACACGACAGUCCUCUUUAUCUUAGCCAUUUAUUAGCCAGGUCAUUAAAAAGAUAAAUUAAUACA